AGUGGCGAACGGGUGAGUAGAGCAUCGGACGUGCCUGGAAUGGGGGAUAACGUAGCGAAAGUUACGCUAAUACCGCAUAUUCUGUGAGCAGGAAAGCAGGGGAUCGCAAGACCUUGCGUUCUGGGAGCGGCCGAUGUCGGAUUAGCUAGUUGGUGGGGUAAAGGCCUACCAAGGCGACGAUCCGUAACGGGUCUGANAGGAUGAUCCGCACACUGGGACUGAGACACGGCCCAGACUCCUACGGGAGGCAGCAGUGGGGAAUUUUGGACAAUGGGCGCAAGCCUGAUCCAGCCAUGCCGCGUGAGUGAAGAAGGCCUUCGGGUUGUAAAGCUCUUUCGGCCGGGAAGAAAUCGCAUGGGUCAAUACCCUGUGUGGAUGACGGUACCGGAAUAAGAAGCACCGGCUAACUACGUGCCAGCAGCCGCGGUAAUACGGAGGGUGCAAAGCGUUAUCCGGAUUUAUUGGGUUUAAAGGGUCCGUAGCGGAUCUGUAAGUCAGUGGUGAAAUCUCACAGUUAACUGUGAAAUUGCAUUGAUACUGCAGGUCUUGAGUGUUGUGAAGUAGCUGGAAUAAGUAGUGUACGGGUGAAAUGCUUAGAUU
rnacentral:rRNA from 1 species